ACUCAAAGGAAUUGACGGGGACCCGCACAAGCAGCGGAGCGUGUGGUUUAAUUCGAUGCAACGCGAAGAACCUUACCAGGGCUUGACAUGUUAUCGCACCGCCGGGAGACCGGCGUGCCCGCAAGGGACGGUAGCACAGGUGCUGCAUGGCUGUCGUCAGCUCGUGUCGUGAGAUGUUGGGUUAAGUCCCGCAACGAGCGCAACCCCCGUUACUGGUUAUAUGUGUCCAGUGAGACUGCCAUUUUACAAUGGAGGAAGGUGGGGAUGACGUCAAGUCAGCACGGCCCUUACGUCCUGGGCGACACACACGCUACAAUGGCCGAGACAAAGAGUUGCCAACCAGCGAUGGGCAGCUAAUCUCGUCAAACUCGGUCUCAGUUCAGAUUGUAGGCUGCAACCCGCCUGCAUGAAGUUGGAGUUGCUAGUAACCGUAAGUCAGCACAUUACGGUGAAUACGUUCCCGGGUCUUGUACACACCGCCCGU
rnacentral:rRNA from 1 species